CCGACUGCGUUGCCACAGGGCUGACCGCAGCUUUUCCACCCGAGAAACUUGGCGCUGGCGCUCUCGCUAUCGCUACUCUCUCUGCCGCUCUCUUCUCGAUUCGUUUCGAUUCGCUCGUUGGCAUUCGGGUUGCCGAAAAAUGGAGACUGCUGCUGCUGGCGCUGUUGGCGCAGGAAAAUCCAUUUUCCAUUUUCCUACAUGCGGACACUGGCUCAAAGUAUCGUGUGCGGCGGACGUCCUUGUCGUGCGUGCGUCGUUUGCUCGCGCUGACGGUGUUUUUUUGCGUUGGGUUCAGGGAGCACAUCCACAUCGCAUCGGGCAACAUGGAGACAUAAGCACCAGCUAGGCGGAAUAACAAGAAGGCCCAACUAGAAGAAGAAUAGAAGAACUCUGUAUUUUGCAAUCGCACAAUUGGAAUUUCGAAUCGAUUUAUAUAGUGUUGUGUGUUCUUUGCGGUUCGUGGUGUGCUGCAUUUUCGGAAGAUGCCUGGUUUUUUCUUUUUGUUUAGUGAGAUUUUCUCCUAUUUUUUUUAUCAAUUUCGGUGAGAGUGCUGUGCAACGAAAGGGAAUACGCAAAAACGAUUUUUUUUAGAAAGUCGCGAGAGUCCCCGAAGGAGAAGGCCAUACAUAGAAACGAAAAGGAGAAGGAAAAGCGAAAACGAAGCAAAGGCAGCGCAAUAAGGUUUUCACCUGCACACACCGCCUUUAAAGUCCUGACACUGAAUACCCGCCAUUUGGAGGCCAUGAAAGCGGGCUAUUUAUGGAUCGAAUAAGUAAAAGGAGUCCCAAUCAAUUUAAACACCAGUUCAGCAUCUUGCGGUGGUUGCUACAGCAAGCUGGCCGAGAAGAGGGCACUCCACAAGGGCUUCGCCGGCGAUAGGCGAUAGGCGAUACUAGGGGGCGUCACUUUUAACGGAAAGAAAGGAGAAGCCAACCCGACCGAACCAUGAAACAUUCAAAUAUUUCCAUACACAAGGACAUGAUGGAAUUCGGGUAACUAAAACCGAGAGCAACGCACACAAUUAGAAGUAGGACACAUUCACCGAAUACUUCAUUCAGCGGUAAUAAAUCGCGCAAAAGAUCAUGAAGCGAACGGAUACAUCCGGAACGCGUAAAUGAAAGCACACUUCCGAACGAAGCAACUUUGAUAUAUAUCAACCAAACCGAACUGUUCCCAGCGGAUCAGUAAGAACCAGGACGAACAGGAGGACGAGGAGGAGGCGGACGAGGCCGACGGGCCAGAGACGGCAGCCAAAUCGCCGCCGCGCCAGCGGGCACAGCGGUCAUGGAACCACCCGGCGGAGUGCCGCCGGAC
rnacentral:sRNA from 1 species